GACGAACGCUGGCGGCGCGCCUAACACAUGCAAGUCGAACGGGGUCUUUUAGGAAGCUUGCUUCCUGGCUGACCUAGUGGCGGACGGGUGAGUAACACGUGAGCAACCUGCCGAAGAGUGGGGGAUAACGUUUGGAAACGAACGCUAAUACCGCAUAACAUCGGGGAAAGGCAUCUUUUUCCGAUCAAAGGAGCAAUCCGCUUUUUGAUGGGCUCGCGCCCGAUUAGAUAGUUGGUGAGGUAACGGCUCACCAAGUCGACGAUCGGUAGCCGGACUGAGAGGUUGAACGGCCACAUUGGGACUGAGACACGGCCCAGACUCCUACGGGAGGCAGCAGUGGGGAAUAUUGCACAAUGGGGGAAACCCUGAUGCAGCGACGCCGCGUGGGUGAAGACGGCCUUCGGGUUGUAAAGCCCUGUCUUCGGGGACGAUAAUGACGGUACCCGAGGAGGAAGCCACGGCUAAUUACGUGCCAGCCGCCGCCGUAAGAC
rnacentral:rRNA from 1 species